rnacentral:rRNA from 1 species
UACGUAGGGUGCGAGCGUUGUCCGGAUUUAUUGGGCGUAAAGGGCUCGUAGGCGGCCUGUCGCGUCGGGAGUGAAAGCCCACUGCUUAACGGUGGGUCUGCUUCCGGUACGGGCGGGCUGGAGUGCAGAAGGGGCAACUGGAAUUCUCGGUGUAGCGGUGAAAUGCGUAGAUAUCGAGAGGAACACCUGCGGCGAAGGCGGGUUGCUGGGCUGACACUGACGCUGAAGCGCGAAAGCCAGGGGAGCGAACGGG